AGCAGUAGCCGCGGGAAAACGGAGGGUGCAAGCGUUAAUCGGAAUUACUGGGCGUAAAGCGCACGCAGGCGGUCUGACAAGUCAGAUGUGAAAUCCCCGGGCUUAACCUGGGAACUGCAUUUGAAACUGUCAGGCUGGAGUCUUGUAGAGGGGGGUGGAAUUCCAGGUGUAGCGGUGAAAUGCGUAGAGAUCUGGAGGAAUACCGGUGGCGAAGGCGGCCCCCUGGACAAAGACUGACGCUCAGGUGCGAAAGCGUGGGGAGCAAACAGGAUUAGAUACCCGUGUAGUCCCUGUCUCUUAUAC
rnacentral:rRNA from 1 species